rnacentral:rRNA from 1 species
UACGUAGGGCGCAAGCGUUAUCCGGAAUUAUUGGGCGUAAAGAGCUCGUAGGCGGUUUUGUCGCGUCUGCCGUGAAAGUCCCGGGGUCAACUCCGGAUCUGCGGGUGGGUACGGGCAGACUAGAGGUGAUGUAGGGGGAGACUGGAAAUUCCUGGUGUAGCGGUGAAAUCGCGCAGAUAUCAGGAGGAACACCGAUGGCGAAGGCAGGUCUCUGGGCAUAACUGACGUGAGGAAGCGAAAGCAUGGGGGAGCGAACAGG